GUUUGUUGCCUUUAUCAAAAGUUUUCUUUAAGAAUUGUUUUUAAGGGGCUGAUGUUAAGACUGAAGGAGGAACUUUUUGGAUGAAGAUCUUGACUGGAAAAGGAGAAGAAAAGAACAGAGGACCUUCCUUUUUGUGGUUUUUCGAUCAAGAGCUUUCAAAAAGGAUUAUUAUUCAAAAGUGACUGAGACGAAGAAAAGAAAAAUCUUUUCAGUUACUGACUGCAUAGUGAGGCAAUGCUGUCUUUGAAGAACAGCUGGUGACAGACUCUUGUCAUCACGUCGUGGCUGCGUUUUGGAUGGAUGUCCUGUUCGUGGAAAUGUCUUUAUGGUGCCCACUUUCCUCCACUUCUUGACAACGACUUUAAUGAGGUUCCAUGGUACAUUUAAUGUUUUGGAAGUUGUACAUGCUUUGUAAGCUCUUUGUGGACCAUGGCUUCAGCAGUUGGAUGGAACCAAGAUGACAUCAAGAAAAUCCUACAGAAACAGCUGAUCUUUACUUGUGUUUAUUCAGAAUCACUUUGAUGACAGGUGUAUGAUAAUUACUGUUGAAAAUGAGUUAAAGUGUGAUUGGUUAAUUCUGAGCACAGUCACAUGACACAUUAUAAAAGUUAAACUUAUGCAGAGUAUUGUAAGUUUUUUUUUUUUUUUCUAAAACAUUUAAAUUUGUUUUUCAUUUCAAUUUUGUUGGUUGCUAUAUCACAUUCAAGUUGGGAAAAGAUCUCACAUUUGAUCAGAUUUAUCUUGGUUUCACUGGUUUACAUUACAAAAAAAUGGUUGAUUAAUAGCACAAUACUGUGAUAAACAUGAUGUUUUAGACUGGAUUAUCAUAAUGUGAACAUUUCAAACUGUAACACCUCUACUUUACUUAAUGAAAUGGCCCACAGGAAAGACAGGUGAAGCAGUUUCUGUUUAAAAUCAGCAGCUUAGUGUGUCAGAUAUGGGUCAAAAAUAUCUGAAAAACAUUUUCUACUAUAAAAAUAUUCAAUGUAAAAAGCUCAAUGUUAAUUCCGAACCUGCUGAACAUAGAGAUGUCACUUUUCAUUACAUUAAAACAAUAAAUAUUUAUGACCAUCAAUACUGCCCUGGUGACCACAAGCUUAUUUCAUUUCGAACUGAACAGCCUUCAUCAGACACAUGUGUGUGUACUGGGUCUGUUUAAGGAUCAAUGUCUUGUCCCUACGAACAUGCUCAUAACUGUGCCACACACACCAAGGUACCAUAACAGAGCAGAGGACAGCAUAGUGAAUACAUCAAUUAAAUUAUCAUUUUUAUUUUGUUUAUCUAAAAAAUAUAUAUUAUAUAAAAUAUUGAUUAAUUAAUCUAAUAAUUAAUCUAAC
ensembl:lncRNA